rnacentral:rRNA from 1 species
UACGUAGGGUGCAAGCGUUGUUCGGAAUCAUUGGGCGUAAAGCGAGUGUAGGCUGUUAGUUAAGUCUGAUGUGAAAUCCCUCAGCUCAACUGAGGAAGUGCAUUAGAAACUGGCUAGCUAGAAGAUGGUAGAGGAAGGUGGAAUUCCAAGUGUAGAGGUGAAAUUCGUAGAUAUUUGGAGGAAUACCGGUGGCGAAGGCGGCCUUCUGGGCCAUUCUUGACGCUGAGACUCGAAAGCGUGGGUAGCAAACAGG